rnacentral:tRNA from 1 species
GGAGAGGUGCCUGAGUGGUUGAAAGGGACAUCCUGCUAAGAUGUUAGGGGGGCAACCCCCUCGAGGGUUCGAAUCCCUCCCUCUCCGCAA